AGGAUUUCAUAAAGUCAUCAGCCUUACUUUCUCUUCCAGAAUCCUCAACGUCCAAUGGCAAGCCAAGAGUCAGAAUGACUGGUGAUGGCCCAGAAUGCAGUGGAUGACUUUGGAGACUUCUGUGUCUAACCAAGUUCUAAGGACUCCGUUGCAAGUAUUUCGUAGGCUUCAUGGCCAUUGAAACAAAGUGUUGCCAUCUGCCCAUUCCACCAGAGGAAGUCUUCAUAGAUUUGCUGACAGUCUUUGAUUCAAUACACAUUUGCUGAACACCCAUUGUGUGCAAGCUGUCCACUCAGUGGGCUAAAGAAAUGAAGAAAAUAUGGAUUCUGCCCUCAAGGACAUUAUAAGGGUGAAGAAGUGUCCAGAAAGAUCCUGGGAAGGCAGCUGAAACAGAACUGGGGAAUAAGGAAGAAUUUUCACUGAACGUGGAAGGGUUACAGAAUGAGAAAAAGACAACUUAUUCAUGCCUGCAUAAGGAAUAGAAUUGAUACAAGAAUACCUAAGAAAAGAGACUUUCUUCCUUCUUGCUUCAAAAGAAGACACGUGGUUCUAGAACCUCUUCAGGGAGAAACUUGGAAAGAAACAGAACAAACUUUGGGAGCCAAUAUGUACAGAAAAGUUAGUUCCCCAAUAUAGUACUUUUUUCUAAUCUGCUUUCCUAGAAACAUUGGAGAAUGUCCCUUGCAAAAGAUCAAGGACUCUAGAUUUUCUGAAGUGUCUCACCAGUAGAAUAGUCAUUCAUUCUGUUCAUUAUCUUAUAUAUUCUAAUCUGUAUAACUUCUCUGAUUUCUGUUUGCUGCCUGCACGAUAAUUAGGUUUACUCAUUAUUCAUUAUUUGUGAUAGUCUUUUGUAGAAUUAGCAUUUGUUGGAAAAGAGUCAGGUUUUAGCAUAUAAGCUAGGGCUACCUUUUUUCUUGUUAGAUUAUAACAACCAGGAAAUAAAUUUGAACCGAAGACAAAUAUUAUUUCACCUAAACUACAAGUAUUUGGAGGGCAGAUAUAAUCCUAGUCUAAACUCCUAUGAAUUUAAUUAUCAUUUACAUAUUGAUGAACCUCCAAUCUUUCUAUUUUACCCCAAUACCUUUGCUGACCUACAAACUUGCAUUUCCUCGGUGAUCCAAAGCUUUAUGGAAUAGACUUUGGACAAAAAUGCCAUCUGCAUCCAGAAAAAAAAAAAAAA